rnacentral:rRNA from 1 species
AUCCUGGCUCAGGACGAACGCUGGCGGCGUGCUUAACACAUGCAAGUCGAACGAUGAUGCCCAGCUUGCUGGGCGGAUUAGUGGCGAACGGGUGAGUAAUACGUGAGUAACCUGCCCUUGACUCUGGGAUAAGCCUGGGAAACUGGGUCUAAUACUGGAUACUACCUCUUACCGCAUGGUGGGUGGUGGAAAGGGUUUUACUGGUUUUGGAUGGGCUCACGGCCUAUCAGCUUGUUGGUGGGGUAAUGGCUCACCAAGCCGACGACGGGUAGCCGGCCUGAGAGGGUGACCGGCCACACUGGGACUGAGACACGGCCCAGACUCCUACGGGAGGCAGCAGUGGGGAAUAUUGCACAAUGGGCGGAAGCCUGAUGCAGCGACGCCGCGUGAGGGAUGACGGCCUUCGGGUUGUAAACCUCUUUCAGUAGGGAAGAAGCGAGAGUGACGGUACCUGCAGAAGAAGCGCCGGCUAACUACGUGCCAGCAGCCGCGGUAAUACGUAGGGCGCAAGCGUUGUCCGGAAUUAUUGGGCGUAAAGAGCUCGUAGGCGGUUUGUCGCGUCUGCUGUGAAAGCCCGGGGCUUAACCCCGGGUCUGCAGUGGGUACGGGCAGACUAGAGUGCAGUAGGGGAGACUGGAAUUCCUGGUGUAGCGGUGAAAUGCGCAGAUAUCAGGAGGAACACCGAUGGCGAAGGCAGGUCUCUGGGCUGUUACUGACGCUGAGGAGCGAAAGCAUGGGGAGCGAACAAUUUAGAUACCCUGGUAGUCCAUGCCGUAAACGUUCUAGGUGUGGGGGACAUUCCACGUUUUCCGCGCCGUAGCUAACGCAUUAAGUGCCCCGCCUGGGGAGUACGGCCGCAAGGCUAAAACUCAAAGGAAUUGACGGGGGCCCGCACAAGCGGCGGAGCAUGCGGAUUAAUUCGAUGCAACGCGAAGAACCUUACCAAGGCUUGACAUUCACCGGACCGCCCCAGAGAUGGGGUUUCCCUUCGGGGCUGGUGGACAGGUGGUGCAUGGUUGUCGUCAGCUCGUGUCGUGAGAUGUUGGGUUAAGUCCCGCAACGAGCGCAAGCGUUCUAUGUUGCCAGCACGUGAUGGUGGGGACUCAUAGGAGACUGCCGGGGUCAACUCGGAGGAAGGUGGGGAUGACGUCAAAUCAUCAUGCCCCUUAUGUCUUGGGCUUCACGCAUGCUACAAUGGCCGGUACAAAGGGUUGCGAUACUGUGAGGUGGAGCUAAUCCCAAAAAGCCGGUCUCAGUUCGGAUUGAGGUCUGCAACUCGACCUCAUGAAGUCGGAGUCGCUAGUAAUCGCAGAUCAGCAACGCUGCGGUGAAUACGUUCCCGGGCCUUGUACACACCGCCCGUCAAGUCACGAAAGUUGGUCCCGAAGCCGGUGGCCUAACCCCUUGUGGGAGGGAGCCGUCGAAGGUGGGACUGGCGAUUGGGACUAAGUCGUAACAAGGUAGCCGU